rnacentral:rRNA from 1 species
UUGGAGGGCAAGUCUGGUGCCAGCAGCCGCGGUAAUUCCAGCUCCAAUAGCGUAUAUUAAAGUUGUUGCAGUUAAAAAGCUCGUAGUUGAAUUUCGGAAUCAAUUUAUUAGUCGUGCCAACGGUACGCACUGGUACAAUUGGUUUCUCCCUUCUGACGAAGCAUGAUGUCAUUAAUUUGAUGUCGUGGGGAAUCAGGACUGUUACUUUGAAAAAAUUAGAGUGUUUAAAGCAGGCUUUGGCUUGAAUACAUUAGCAUGGAAUAAUGAAAUAGGACGUUUGAUCUUAUUUCGUUGGUUUCUAAGAUCGACGUAAUGAUUAAUAGGGAUAGUUGGGGGCAUUAGUAUUCAAUUGUCAGAGGUGAAAUUCUUGGAUUUAUUGAAGACUAACUACUGCGAAAGCAUUUGCCAAGGAUGUUUUCAUUAAUCAAGAACGAAAGUUAGGGGAUCGAAGACGAUCAGAUACCGUCGUAGUCUUAACCAUAAACUAUGCCGACUAGGGAUCGGAUGAUGUUAAUUUUUUAAUGACUCAUUCGGCGCCUUACGGGAAAC